rnacentral:rRNA from 1 species
GAUGAACGCUGGCGGCGUGCCUAAUACAUGCAAGUCGAGCGAACAGACGAGGAGCUUGCUCCUCUGAUGUUAGCGGCGGACGGGUGAGUAACACGUGGAUAACCUACCUAUAAGACUGGGAUAACUUCGGGAAACCGGAGCUAAUACCGGAUAACAUGUUGAACCGCAUGGUUCAACAGUGAAAGACGGUCUUGCUGUCACUUAUAGAUGGAUCCGCGCCGCAUUAGCUAGUUGGUAAGGUAACGGCUUACCAAGGCAACGAUGCGUAGCCGACCUGAGAGGGUGAUCGGCCACACUGGAACUGAGACACGGUCCAGACUCCUACGGGAGGCAGCAGUAGGGAAUCUUCCGAAAUGGGCGAAAGCCUGACGGAGCAACGCCGCGUGAGUGAAGAAGGUCUUCGGAUCGUAAAACGCUGUUAUUAGGGAAGAACAAAUGUGUAAGUAACUAUGCACGUCUUGACGGUACCUAAUCAGAAAGCCACGGCGAACUACGU